UACGUAGGGACCAAGCGUUGUUCGGAUUUACUGGGCGUAAAGGGCGCGUAGGCGGCGUGACAAGUCACUUGUGAAAUCUCUGGGCUUAACCCAGAAAGGUCAACCGAUACUGCGGGGCUAGAGUGGCAGAAGGGGCAACUGGAAUUCUCGGUGUAGCGGUGAAAUGCGUAGAUAUCGAGAGGAACACCUGCGGCGAAGGCGGGUUGCUGGGCUGACACUGACGCUGAAGCGCGAAAGCUAGGGGAGCGAACGGG
rnacentral:rRNA from 1 species